rnacentral:lncRNA from 1 species
CUGGAGGGACAGUAACCUGAAUGAGAAAGGUUCAAAGCCCUUGCCUCCUGUGAGCUUGUACGCGUUCUUUUCUAGGACCUUAGUCCAUGGGUAGGGGUGAGCAAUGGCAGGCGCUGGUGAGCGCAAAGGCAAGAAGGAUGACAAUGGCAUUGGAACGGCCAUUGAUUUUGUGCUCUCCAAUGCCCGGCUGGUGCUGGGCGUGGGUGGAGCAGCCAUGCUGGGCAUCGCCACAUUGGCAGUUAAGCGGGUAAGUGCAUGCAGCCUGGUCCCAGGAUGGGAAGUGAUGAGUUACCUACAAAGAGGAGCUCUCCUGAGGUAGACUGACACUGUAAUUGGAGCAUAACUUGCUCAUCUGCAACUUGCUUCGAGGCUUCUCCAUAAAGAGACCACUGUGAUGUAAAGAGAUGUAUCCCAGCAAGUAAAACACAGCAACUGACCCAACCACCCUGCCUUCUGUGAUGGCGUGGUUUAGAGUAGCAGCCACAUUACUUCUGUUUCCUUCUCUUACUCUUGUUUUUAAAGCUUCUAUCUCUGUCUGCAUCCUUUGACACACCUAGAAGCUAAGCACUUAGAGCAUGCUUAA